rnacentral:rRNA from 1 species
GAUGAACGCUGGCGGCGUGCCUAAUACAUGCAAGUCGAGCGAACGGACGAGAAGCUUGCUUCUCUGAUGUUAGCGGCGGACGGGUGAGUAACACGUGGAUAACCUACCUAUAAGACUGGGAUAACUUCGGGAAACCGGAGCUAAUACCGGAUGAUAUUCUGAACCGCAUGGUUCAAAAGUGAAAGACGGUCUUGCUGUCACUUAUAGAUGGAUCCGCGCUGCAUUAGCUAGUUGGUAAGGUAACGGCUUACCAAGGCAACGAUGCAUAGCCGACCUGAGAGGGUGAUCGGCCACACUGGAGCUGAGACGCGGUCCAGACUCCUGCGGGAGGCAGCAGUAGGGAAUCUUCCGCAAUGGGCGAAAGCCUGACGGAGCAACGCCACGUGAGUGAUGAAGGUCUUCGGAGCGUAAAACUCUGUUAUUAGGGAAGAACAUAUGUGUAAGUAACUGUGCACAUCUUGACGGUACCUAAUCAGAAAGCCACGGCUAACUACGUG